UAUUAAGUUGGUUCAAAAGUAAUUGUGGUUUUUGUCAUUACUUUCAAUGGCAAAAACUGCAAUGACUUUUUCACCAACCUAAUA
ensembl:miRNA